GAUGAACGCUGGCGGUGUGCCUAAUACAUGCAAGUCGAGCGAACAGACGAGGAGCUUACUCCUCUGACGUUAGCGGCGGACGGGUGAGUAACACGUGGAUAACCUACCUAUAAGACUGGGAUAACUUCGGGAAACCGGAGCUAAUACCGGAUAACAUGUUGAACCGCAUGGUUCAACAGUGAAAGACGGUCUUGCUGUCACUUAUAGAUGGAUCCGCGUCGCAUUAGCUAGUUGGUAAGGUAACGGCUUACCAAGGCAACGAUGCGUAGCCGACCUGAGAGGGUGAUCGGCCACACUGGAACUGAGACACGGUCCAGACUCCUACGGGAGGCAGCAGUAGGGAAUCUUCCGCAAUGGGCGAAAGCCUGACGGAGCAACGCCGCGUGAGUGAAGAAGGUCUUCGGAGCGUAAAACUCGGUUAUUAGGGAAGAACAAAUGUGUAAGUAACUAUGCACGUCUUGACGGUACCUAAUCAGAAAGCCACGGCUAACUACGUG
rnacentral:rRNA from 1 species